rnacentral:rRNA from 1 species
UGGGGAAUAUUGCACAAUGGGGGAAACCCCGAUGCAGCGACGCCGCGUGAACGAAGAAGGUAUUCGUAUCGUAAAGUUCUGUCCUAUGGGAAGAUAAUGACAGUACCAUAGAAGAAAGCUCCGGCUAAAUACGUGCCAGCAGCCGCGGUAAUACGUAUGGAGCGAGCGUUGUCCGGAAUUAUUGGGCGUAAAGGGUACGCAGGCGGUUUAAUAAGUCGAAUGUUAAAGAUCGGGGCUCAACCCCGUAAAGCAUUGGAAACUGAUAAACUUGAGUAGUGGAGAGGAAAGUGGAAUUCCUAGUGUAGUGGUGAAAUACGUAGAUAUUAGGAGGAAUACCAGUAGCGAAGGCGACUUUCUGGACACAAACUGACGUUGAGGUACGAAAGCGUGGGGAGCAAACAGG